GGCCAGAUAGUCUAGUGGCAAAUGACGAUUUGGCAAAAUACAAAGUAAAUCUGCGACAGAACUGCAGGUGUAUUGGGUACCAAGUAGGCGGGGGUUUGAUUCCCUCUCUGGCCA